rnacentral:rRNA from 1 species
GAUGAACGCUGGCGGCGUGCUUAACACAUGCAAGUCGAACGAAGCACCUUAUUCUGAUUUCUUCGGAAUGAAAAAUUUGGUGACUGAGUGGCGGACGGGUGAGUAACGCGUGGGUAACCUGCCUCAUACAGGGGGAUAACAGUUAGAAAUGGCUGCUAAUACCCCAUAAGACCACAGCACCGCAUGGUGCAGGGGUAAAAACUCCGGUGGUAUGAGAUGGACCCGCGUCUGAUUAGGUAGUUGGUGGGGUAACGGCCUACCAAGCCGACGAUCAGUAGCCGACCUGAGAGGGUGACCGGCCACAUUGGGACUGAGACACGGCCCAAACUCCUACGGGAGGCAGCAGUGGGGAAUAUUGCACAAUGGGGGAAACCCUGAUGCAGCGACGCCGCGUGAGCGAUGAAGUAUUUCGGUAUGUAAAGCUCUAUCAGCAGGGAAGAAAAUGACGGUACCUGACUAAGAAGCACCGGCUAAAUACGUGCCAGCAGCCGCGGUAAUACGUAUGGUGCAAGCGUUAUCCGGAUUUACUGGGUGUAAAGGGAGCGUAGACGGAGUGGCAAGUCUGAUGUGAAAACCCGGGGCUCAACCCCGGGACUGCAUUGGAAACUGUCAACCUGGAGUGCCGGAGAGGUAAGCGGAAUUCCUAGUGUAGCGGUGAAAUGCGUAGAUAUUAGGAGGAACACCAGUGGCGAAGGCGGCUUACUGGACGGUAACUGACGUUGAGGCUCGAAAGCGUGGGGAGCANACAGG